rnacentral:rRNA from 1 species
AGUGAAGCGGCAACAGCUCAAAUUUGAAAUCUGGCCCUCGGGUCCGAGUUGUAAUUUGCAGAGGAUGCUUCGGGCGAGGCUUUGAUCGAGUCCCCUGGAAUGGGGCGCCACAGAGGGUGAGAGCCCCGUAUGAUCAGCCGCCGAACCCGUGUGAAGCUCCUUCGACGAGUCGAGUAGUUUGGGAAUGCUGCUCUAAAUGGGAGGUAAAUUUCUUCUAAAGCUAAAUACCGGCCAGAGACCGAUAGCGCACAAGUAGAGUGAUCGAAAGAUGAAAAGCACUUUGAAAAGAGAGUUAAAAAGCACGUGAAAUUGUUGAAAGGGAAGCGCCUAUGACCAGACUCGGGCUCUUGGGAUCAUCCGCCCUUCUGGGCGGUGCACUCCCUCGUUCUCGGGCCAGCAUCGGUUCUCCUCGGGGGAUAAAGGCGCCAGGAACGUGGCUCCCUUCGGGGAGUGUUAUAGCCUGGCGCGUCAUGCUCCGGGGGGGACCGAGGACCGCGCUUCGGCAUGGAUGCUGGCGUAAUGGUCACCGGCGACCCGUCUUGAAACACGGACCAAGGAGUCAAGCAUUAGGGCGAGUGUACGGGUGUAAAACCCGAACGCGCAGUGAAAGCGAACGCUGGUGAGAGCUUCGGCGCAUCACCGACCGAUCCUGAAGUCUUCGGAUGGAUUUGAGUAGGAGCCUUAACGCUUGGACCCGAAAGAUGGUGAACUAUGCCUGAAUAGGGUGAAGCCAGAGGAAACUCUGGUGGAGGCUCGCAGCGGUUCUGACGUGCAAAUCGAUCGUCAAAUUUGGGCAUAGGGGCGAAAGACUAAUCGAACCAUCUAGUAGCUGGUUACCGCCGAAGUUCCCUC